CGAGCGCUGGCGGCGUGCUUAACACAUGCAAGUCGAGCGAUGAAGCACCUUCGGGUGUGGAUUAGCGGCGAACGGGUGAGGAACACGUGAGAAAUCUGCCUUCAACACUGGGAUAACUCCGGGAAGCCGGGGCUAAUACCGGAUAUGAAACCUGCGGGCAUCCGCGGGUUUGGAAAGUUUUUCGGUUGAAGAUGAUCUCGCGGCCUAUCAGCUUGUUGGUGAGGUAAUGGCUCACCAAGGCGACGACGGGUAGCCGGCCUGAGAGGGCGACCGGCCACACUGGGACUGAGACACGGCCCAGACUCCUACGGGAGGCAGCAGUGGGGAAUAUUGGGCAAUGGAGGAAACUCUGACCCAGCGACGCCGCGUGCGGGAUGAAGGCCUUCGGGUUGUAAACCGCUUUCAGUAGGGAAGAAGCGAAAGUGACGGUACCUACAGAAGAAGCACCGGCUAACUAUGUGCCAGCAGCCGCGGUAAUCUGAUGGCGCGAGG
rnacentral:rRNA from 1 species